rnacentral:rRNA from 1 species
UACAGAGGGUGCGAGCGUUAAUCGGAAUUACUGGGCGUAAAGCGUGCGUAGACGGUUCUGUAAGUCGGAUGUGAAAUCCCCGGGCUCAACCUGGGAAUUGCAUUCGAGACUGCAAAGCUUGGGUGCGGAAGAGGGAAGCGGAAUUUCCGGUGUAGCGGUGAAAUGCGUAGAGUAUCGGAAGGAACAUCAGUGGCGAAAGCGGCUUCCGUGGUCCA